rnacentral:rRNA from 1 species
UUAACGGCCGCAGAAACCUAACUGUGCUAAGGUAGCCUAAUUUCUUGCCUUAUAAUUGAAGGCCAGUGAACGGUUACACGAGAAUUAAACUGUCUCUAAUAAUUAAACUAAAAAUUAUUCUUUAAGUGAAAAACCUUAAUUACCAUCGAAAGACGAGAAGACCCUGCAGAGUUUAACUUCAUAAUUAUAUAUAACUAAUACAAUAAUUCAACAGUUUAAUUGGGGCAAUUAGGGAACAUCAAACUUCCCCCCACAAGUAACUUACGAAAAAACUACCUCAGGGAUAACAGCAUAAUAUUAUUGAAAAGUACCUAUUAAUAAUAAUGAUUAUGACCUCGAUGUUGGAUUAGACUAACUCUAAGAUGCAAAAGUCUUACUUAGUAGGCCUGUUCGGCCUUUAAACCUCUAC